rnacentral:ribozyme from 1 species
AAAUUCAUAGGUAGAGUACGCAACUAUUGUGAGAGAGUCUCUCUCACAUAUCCACACCUUGUAGAGAGAGUUAGUGAGCAGCAACACAUCAUGUCCACGGAGGAACACAGCAAUUGGAAAUUGUGGGU